GAUUACCCGCUGAACUUAAGCAUAUCAAUAA
rnacentral:rRNA from 2 species